UACGUAGGGGGCAAGCGUUGUCCGGAUUUACUGGGCGUAAAGAGCGUGUAGGCGGCCAAACAGGUCCGUUGUGAAAACGUGGAGGCUUAACCUCCAGACGUCGACCGGAAACCGUGUGGCUAGAGUCCGGAAGAGGAGAGUGGAAUUCCUGGUGUAGCGGUGAAAUGCGCAGAUAUCAGGAAGAACACCAAUGGCGAAGGCAGCUCUCUGGGACGGUACUGACGCUGAGACGCGAAAGCGUGGGAGCGAACAGG
rnacentral:rRNA from 1 species